CCUACGGGAGGCAGCAGUGGGGAAUAUUGAGCAAUGGAGGCAACUCUGACCCAGCAACGCCGCGUGAAUGAUGAAGGUCUUCGGAUUGUAAAGUUCUGUGAUGGGGGAUGAACACAAUGACGGUACCCCAAUAGCAAGCCACGGCUAACUACGUGCCAGCAGCCGCGGUAAUACGUAGGUGGCAAGCGUUAUCCGGAAUGACUGGGCGUAAAGGGGGCGUAGGGGGUUUAGUAAGUUGGCGGUGUAAUUCCGGGGCUCAACCUCGGCGCUGCAGCCAAAACUAUUAGACUAGAGUGCAGGAGAGGUAAGUGGAAUUCCUAGUGUAGCGGUGGAAUGCGUAGAUAUUAGGAGGAACAUCAGGGGCGAAGGCGACUUACUGGACUGUAACUGACGCUGAGGCACGAAAGCGUGGGGAGCAAACAGGAUUAGAUACCCCGGUAGUC
rnacentral:rRNA from 1 species